AACGCGAAGAACCUUACCUACCCUUGACAUCCUAGGAAUCUUACAGAGAUGUAGGAGUGCCGAAAGGAACCUAGAGACAGGUGCUGCAUGGCUGUCGUCAGCUCGUGUUGUGAGAUGUUGGGUUAAGUCCCGUAACGAGCGCAACCCUUAUCCUUAGUUACCAGCGCGUGAAGGCGGGGACUCUAAGGAGACUGCUGGUGAUGAACCGGAGGAAGGCGGGGACGACGUCAAGUCAUCAUGGCCUUUAUGGGUAGGGCUACACACGUGCUACAAUGGACAGUACAGAGGGUAGCCAACCCGCGAGGGGGAGCCAAUCCCAGAAAGCUGUUCGUAGUCCGGAUCGGAGUCUGCAACUCGACUCCGUGAAGUCGGAAUCGCUAGUAAUCGCGAAUCAGAAUGUCGCGGUGAAUACGUUCCCGGGCCUUGUACACACCGCUCGCGA
rnacentral:rRNA from 1 species